GAUUCCCCUAGUAACUGCGAGUGAAGCGGGAAAAGCUCAAAUUUAAAAUCUGGCAGCCUUUGGGUUGUCCGAGUUGUAGUCUGGAGAAGUGUUUUCGGUGCUGGACCGUGUACAAGUCUCUUGGAACAGAGCAUCAUAGAGGGUGAGAAUCCCGUCUUUGACAUGGACUACCAGUGCUUUGUGAUGCGCUCUCAAAGAGUCGAGUUGUUUGGGAAUGCAGCUCAAAAUGGGUGGUAAAUUCCAUCUAAAGCUAAAUAUUGGCGAGAGACCGAUAGCGAACAAGUACCGUGAGGGAAAGAUGAAAAGCACUUUGGAAAGAGAGUUAAACAGUACGUGAAAUUGCUGAAAGGGAAACGCUUGAAGUUAGUCGUGUCUUUCAAAACUCAACCUGGCUCUCUUGGAGCUUGGUGCAUUUUUUGAUAGACGGGCCAGCGUCAGUUUGGGUUAUCGGAAAAGGACCUUUGAGCAUGUAGCACCUUCGGGUGUGUUAUAGCCGUUGGUUGUAUACGAUGACUGGGACUGAGGACUGCAGCACGCCUUUAAUGGCCGGGGUUCGCCCAUGCAACGUGCUUAGGAUGCUGGCAUAAUGGCUUUAAGCGACCCGUCUUGAAACACGGACCAAGGAGUCUAACAUACCUGCGAGUGUUUGGGUGGAAAACCCGAGCGCGCAAUGAAAGUAAAAGUUGGGAUCCCUGUCGUGGGGAGCACCGACGCCCAUACCAGACCUACUGUGACGGAUAUGCGGUUGAGCAUGUAUGUUGGGACCCGAAAGAUGGUGAACUAUGCCUGA
rnacentral:rRNA from 1 species